UAGUGGACCGACUUACUUUAA
rnacentral:piRNA from 1 species